GAACAGACCUCCGGAACGAAUUAAGUUCGUAACCAGAGGAACCACUGUAAUAAUAAUAAUAAAAUUUAUACUAUACUAUACUAUACUAUACUAUACUAUACUAUACAGUGGUACCUCGGGUUAAGAACUUAAUUCGUUCUGGAGGUCCGUUC